rnacentral:rRNA from 1 species
GGAUUAGAUACCCUGGUAGUCCACGCCGUAAACGAUGAUAACUAGCUGUCCGGGCACUUGGUGCUUGGGUGGCGCAGCUAACGCAUUAAGUUAUCCGCCUGGGGAGUACGGUCGCAAGAUUAAAACUCAAAGGAAUUGACGGGGGCCUGCACAAGCGGUGGAGCAUGUGGUUUAAUUCGAAGCAACGCGCAGAACCUUACCAGCUUUUGACAUCCCGCGCUACAACCAGAGAUGGUUGGUUCCCUUCGGGGACGCGGUGACAGGUGCUGCAUGGCUGUCGUCAGCUCGUGCCG